AAAAUGACUUGUUUCCAGGAAUGAGAGGGAGGAUAUUUUUCCAAGAAAGAGUGAGCUGAUGCAUUCCUUACAAUUGUAAGUUGUAGAGUACACCAUUCUCAAUCCAUAAGAAAAUCUCUACUGAAUCCUUGGGCUGCAAUUAAAAGGGACAUGUCGAUUAUAUGUUCAAGCUGUGACUGUGAAGCUGGACUUGGUGGUGUGUGUUCACACGUAGGUGCAAUGUUGUACAAGAUCAUAGCAGUUAACAACUUGCCAUGUACGGUAUCCUGCACAAAAAGGGGGAAAACGAAAACCGUUCCGGCUUACUCCAGUCUCCCCUACUUUCAGGAAUCUUGUCCCGUAAGGCCAGAUUACUGCUGGCGCAGGUCAGUCGGGUCUUACGGUGGUAAGCCUGCCAGACUGUGUGCCUUUACGUCGGUUUAACCUUAUCUGUAGUGCCGUAGCACUUAUUCAGCGACUACUGCGUUCGCCUUUAUCGGGCUUGCGCUGGUAAGUCCUGAGACUGUCGUUCGCCUUGUCGGGCUAGAGCACGGUCAAAUUCUGUUAAGCCUUAUCGGGCUCAACAGAGUAAACGGCCGCAGAGUAUUACUCGUAGCGGUGAAGAGGAGUUUCCUGGGUGGCUGCUCGGUCGCGGGCUGGCACGUCAGAGGAGGCGGCUGGCAAGCUGGAGGAGGCGGCGGCAGGAGACUUCGGACCUUUUCUGAAAGAGAGAACGGGUUACUGGAGCGAAAUGACUCGACUGGACGCAAACAAUUCGGUGAGAAAAGUGAGUGUAUUAUCAUGGCAAGACGGCCCCUUUUAUACACAGAAAACUACACCGUUGUCUAAUUUGUCCGGACGUCCGAUCCUGGAAUA